rnacentral:rRNA from 1 species
UACAGAGGGUGCAAGCGUUAAUCGGAAUUACUGGGCGUAAAGCGUGCGUAGACGGUUGCGUAAGUCAGAUGUGAAAGCCCCGGGCUCAACCUGGGAAUUGCAUUUGAGACUGCGUAGCUAGGGUGCGGAAGAGGGAAGCGGAAUUUCCGGUGUAGCGGUGAAAUGCGUAGAUAUUGGGAAGAACACCAGCGGCGAAAGCGCGCUACUGGGCCAUUACUGACACUCAUGGACGAAAGCUAGGGGAGCGAAAGGG